CGGCGGCCGUAACUAUAACGGUCCUAAGGUAGCGAAAUUCCUUGUCGGGUAAGUUCCGACCCGCACGAAAGGCGUAACGAUUUGGGCACUGUCUCAACAAUAGACUCGGUGAAAUUGUAAUUCCGGUGAAGAUGCCGGAUACCUGCGACAGGACGGAAAGACCCCAUGGAGCUUUACUGUAGCUUGACAUUGGGUCUUGGUACUACAUG
rnacentral:rRNA from 1 species